UUACCUCUUUUGUUAUAAAUUAGUGGACACUGGGUAUUGAAAACUGCAGAUAGGUGUCCCAAAUUCACCAUUUUAGGACCUCUCCCCCUCUCUCUUUCUCUCUCAUUUUCUUGAGGUAGUUAGGCUUAAUUUCUAGCUAGAGUUAUAGUAGUGGCAUCGAACGAAGAGAAGGGGUGUGUGUGAGCAAGAUGGAGAAGCAGGGCACGUGCACUACUAACUCAUGCACACAGAGAGGGAGACGCAUUUCUUGCUGGAGCUACGAGUUACGACUCUUACCUACUAUUGAUUUUGUUGGCUCCAGUGAGUUAGUUAUUCAUGUGCCUGUCUUCCCCAUCAUGAUCACUACCACACCUAGCUAUAUUGCUCCAUCUCGGGCACUUCAAGUAGGAGAAUCUCCAGUUCAGGUGCUGAAUCCAUGCAUGCAGGUGAGUCGUAUCCAAACCAAUAUCAGAUACUGAUUAGAAUAAUUUAUCGACUGUGGUUUUUGUGAAGCUAUGGCGACAUAAGCAUUGCAUACCCAACUACUUCUCUUUUCUCUUAUGGUCGAAAGGGGAUAAAGAUCAAGAAAAGAUUUGCACUUCAUGUAUGUCCUAUCUGAUCUGAGUGGAUAUAUAAUAUUGCCAUAUUGCAAAUUGUGAGCUGGUGAGUGAUAUAUUUUUAAACAAAAAUGUCAUGCAUGGUGGAUAAAGAUAGUAAUAUUAAUUAGCAGUGAAGUUUGAUCCAACUAUCACCAGAGGAUUUGUUUUCUACUAUCUCUAUAUAAUCUCGAGAGAUGCCAUUUCACAAGAAAAAAUUGCAAAAGUAUCCGGCAGUACGUCUAGCAACUCCAAUUAAUGGGUUAAUAUUUAUAUUUUUUUUCGUAAUAUAUGGUGUUUUUGUUUUUUGAAGUAACAUUUAUUCUCUCUCUCUCUCUCUCUCUCUCUCUCUCUCUCUCUCUUUUUAUGGUAAUCAUCGAAAAUACAUUAAAACUAUAAUAAAGUCAAUGGCCGAAGCAAUAUAUAUAACAAGAAAAAAAAUGAAUUCUUCUCUCUUCUAGUUUUGCUGACUAGCUUAAUUAGUAAUCUCUAGCCAUAUUAUUUCAGAAGAAUAGAUUGCAUAAAAAAAAAUAACCAGCUCUAGCAGGAUCAAUAAACAUUAAUCCCAUGAUAUAAUAUUUAUAAUUCUACAUAUCUAUUGUAGUUGUUUUUUCUUAUGAAAUAACAUUUCUCCUCUACCUCCCUCAUUAUUUUGUGAAGUAAACCUUGUAAGGAAAAUAUUUAAAAUAAUUAUCUUUAUUGGAUUCUAGAAUUGAAUUUAAAAAUUUUAAACCCUGUAAGUCUAGAAUUGCUUCUAAGUGAAAUUAUAUAUAUAUAUAAAAUUUCACUUAUCCAGAUGAAUCACAGUAUAUAUAUGUGUGUGUGUGUAAUAUAAACAAGGUUUUCUCCAGGAUUUCACGAUGGUAUUGUUCUUUUAUGUAAUGCUUUCUUUUUGUGAAACCAGCAUUUAAUUAGAGCCUCAAAAAAAAAAAAAAAAAAAGGACAGAGAGACAGCGACACUUUAGAAGCAAAAGAGUCUUUACAUUGACAGGCCAUGCCAGCCAUUAUUAUAUAUUGCUUAUGUCUGUGCUGUAAUUUUAAUUUUCAUAUAAUUGUAAAGAUAUAUAGCAGUCAACUUUAUGUUUUAGACAAGAGUUUUUAUUUGAGAAUUAGUGAAUAAUAUUGUUAUGAUAUUUUGUUUUAAUGUUUGGAAGAAUUAUAGUUGUCUUAACACAUUAUUUAUUUAUAUGAAUGCGACUGAACUCUUCCGAGAUGUUUCUUGUCGAUCAUUAAUUAGGGUUAGCUUCCUUUUCUCUACUCCUUCCACCAUUAAGUGGUAGAGGUUGUUAAAGAGGGUGUCUGUCAAUGCUGCUCUCAUUCUUCACCAAUAAGAAGAAUUAGGGAAACAUGGAGCAAACCAACUGAGGCCUCAUAUUUUCCAAGAAACGUGUGGGAUAUAGCACUUUGGGGGCUACCAUGUAGGGGACAGUACAAGAUAGCAGCAAAAGCCACCGUAUAAAAUGUCUCUGUUCCGUCAAAAUAUUUAGCUCUUUUCCCUCUCAUCCUCGUCGGAAUGACAAUGAAAUGCCAUUCACGGCAUCUUGCCUUCUCUAUUAGAAAAUGAUAUAUAUAUAUAUAUAUAUAUAUAUAUGGCCUUAAUUUUACAUGUAAUGCAUAUCUUUCGUUUUCUCUUUGCUCCUUCGUUAAGCUAUCAUUUUCACUUUUUCAAGGAUUAUAUAUAUGUUGCCUUUUAUAUGUAACGUAAAUCUUUCAUUUUGUUUUGUCGUUCACAUUAUCAUUUUCUCUCUUUUUUUAAAAAAAAAAAAAAGUGAAGCAUCAAUGAGUUGUACAUAUUUAUGUCUUUCCUUUCUCUAAAAGAUCUGGAGUUCAAACAUUUCUUAUAUAAUAAUAAAAGCAAUUAUUUCACAUGGAGCAUGAUCAUGCAUUGAAAUUAAUGGAUCCAUUGCAUCAGGAUUCAAGUCAGGUUAAUCUGGACUUUGCUUUGUUUUUUGCUCAUGCGUGUCCAUCGGACCGGCUAUAUAUUCCGGCUGAUUUGUAGCCGAGUACUUUGACCGAGCUUCAGGCUUCGUAGUCCUGGCUCCAAUUUGAAAUGGACGUUAAACUUUCAACAAUUUAGAGAGAAGUCCUUCUAGCACCUAAAAGUCCACUUCACGAAAGUCCUUUCAAACGAAAAGGCAGAAAGUGAAUGAAUUUUUAUUUUUUUUUCCUGCUCUUUAUGGUGGCUUAUAUGGAGUUGUUCUCCCACUGGAGUUGGAAAGUCAGUGAAUUUUUAACUAUCCUUUGCCAAAUAUAUAGAAUUCUCCUAGGAGUUGUGGAACAAAAUUAUUCUACCACCAACUCAUGCUGAAGGCC